rnacentral:rRNA from 1 species
AACGAACGCUGGCGGCAGGCUUAACACAUGCAAGUCGAGCGCAUCCUUCGGGGUGAGCGGCGGACGGGUGAGUAACGCGUGGGAACGUGCCCUCUUCUACGGAAUAGCCUCGUGAAACUGAGAGUAAUGCCGUAUACGCCCGCAAGGGGGAAGAUCUAUCGGAGGAGGAUCGGCCCGCGUUGGAUUAGGUAGGUGGUGGGGUAACGGCCUACCAAGCCGACGAUCCGUAGCUGGUUUGAGAGGAGGAUCAGCCACACUGGGACUGAGACACGGCCCAGACUCCUACGAGAGGCAGCAGUGGGGAAUCUUGGACAAUGGGCGCAACCCUGAACCAGCCAUGCCGCGUGAUCGAUGAAGGCCUUAGGGUUGUAAAGAUCUUUCAGCUGAGAAGAUAAUGACGGUACCAGCAGAAGAAGCCCCGGCUAACUCCGUG